rnacentral:pre_miRNA from 13 species
GGAGGGUCAGCUGGUGUUGUGAAUCAGGCCGCUGACACUACCAGACACGGCUUCUUCACAACACCAGGGUUCCUCCC